UACGGAGGGUGCAAGCGUUAUCCGGAUUCACUGGGUUUAAAGGGUGCGUAGGUGGGCAGGUAAGUCAGUGGUGAAAUCUUUGGGCUUAACCCGAAAACUGCCAUUGAUACUAUUUGUCUUGAAUAUUGUGGAGGUCAGCGGAAUAUGUCAUGUAGCGGUGAAAUGCUUAGAGAUGACAUAGAACACCAAUUGCGAAGGCAGCUGGCUACACAUAUAUUGACACUGAUGCACGAAAGCGUGGGGAUCAAACAGG
rnacentral:rRNA from 1 species